rnacentral:lncRNA from 1 species
AUGUGCCCCAGGUGCCCCCAGAUGUGCCCCAGGUGUGUUCAGGUGUGCCCAAAUGUGUCCCAGUGUCCCUCAGCUUUGCCCAGGUGUGCCCUAGUCUGCUCCAGGUUUGCCCAGGUGUGCCCAGGUGUGUUCAGGUGUGUCCUAGUGCGCUCCAUAUUUGCCCAGAUGUGCCCCAGGUGUGUUCAGGUGUGUUCCAAGUGUCCCCAAAUGUGCCCCAGUGUCCUUCAGCUUUGCCCAGGUGUGCCCAAGUGUGCCCAGAUGUGCCCCAGAUGUGUCCAGAUGUGCUCCAGGUGUGUCCAUGUGUGCCCCAGUGUCCCUCAGCUUUGCCCGGAUGUGCCCAGGUGUGGCCAGAUGUGCUCCAGGUUUGCCCAGGUGUGUUCAGGUGUGUUCCAAGUGUCCCCAGGUGUGCCCAAGUGUGCCCAGCUGUGCUCCAGGUGUGCCCAAAUGUGUCCCAGUGUCCCUCAGCUUUGCCCAGAUGUGCCCAGGUGUGCCCAGGUGUGCCCAAAUGUGCCCCAGUGUCCCUCAGCUGUGCCCAGGUGUGGCCAGAUGUGCUCCAGAUUUGCCCAAGUGCGUCCCAGGUGUCCCCAGCUUUGCCCAGGUGUGUUCCAAGUGUCCCCAGGUGAUUCCAACUGUGCCCCAGGUGUGCCCAGGUGUGUCCCAGUGUGCUCAGAUGUGCUCCAGAUGUGUCCAGAUGUGCCCCUGGUGUCCCCAGCUGUGUCCAGAUAUGUCCCAGGUGUGCCCCAGUGUACGCCAGGUGUGCCAGAUGUGUCCAGGUGUGCCCUAGUGUGCUCCAGGUUUGCCCAAAUGUGUCCCAGGUGCCCCCAGAUGUGCCCCAGCUGUGUCCAGGUGAUUCCAACUGUGCCCCAGCUGUGUCCCAGGUGUGCCCCUGGUGUCCCCAGCUGUGUCCAGAUAUGUCCCAGGUGUGCCCCAGUGUACGCCAGGUGUGCCAGGUGUGCCCUAGUGUGCCCCAGGUUUGCCCAGGUGUGUCCCAGGUGUGCCCAAAUGUGUUCCAGGUGUGCCCUAGUGUGCUCCAGGUUUGCCCAGAUGUGCCCCAGGUGUGCCCAGAGGUGCCCACGUGUGUCCCAGGUGUGCACAGGUGUGCCCAGAAUUGUUCUAGGUGUGCCCUAG